GGUUGCCUACGGGGCGCAGCAGUGGGGAAUAUUGCACAAUGGGGGGAACCCUGAUGCAGCGACGCCGCGUGAGUGAAGAAGUAUCUCGGUACGUAAAGCUCUUUCAGCAGGGAAGAAAAUGACGGUACCUGACUAAGAAGCCCCGGCUAACUACGUGCCAGCAGCCGCGGUAAUACGUAGGGGGCAAGCGUUAUCCGGAUUUACUGGGUGUAAAGGGUGCGUAGGCGGGCUUUUAAGUCAGCGGUAAAAAUUCGGGGCUCAACCCCGUCCGGUCGUUGAA
rnacentral:rRNA from 1 species